rnacentral:tRNA from 1 species
GCAUCGAUGGUUCAGUGGUAGAAUGCUCGCCUGCCACGCGGGCGGUCGGGGUUCGAUUCCCGGCCGAUGCA